CAGUCGCCGCGGUAAUACGGAGGGUGCAAGCGUUAAUCGGAAUUACUGGGCGUAAAGCGCACGCAGGCGGUCUGUCAAGUCAGAUGUGAAAUCCCCGGGCUUAACCUGGGAACUGCAUUUGAAACUGGCAGGCUAGAGUCUUGUAGAGGGGGGUAGAAUUCCAGGUGUAGCGGUGAAAUGCGUAGAGAUCUGGAGGAAUACCGGUGGCGAAGGCGGCCCCCUGGACAAAGACUGACGCUCAGGUGCGAAAGCGUGGGGAGCAAACAGGAUUAGAGACCCGAGUAGUCCCUGUCUCUUAUAU
rnacentral:rRNA from 1 species